UGCUUCUUCUCUAGGUAGUUGUUGCCGUUGUUGAGGUGGAACAUAUUUAUCUGGAAGUAAAGUAAUUGGUUAAAAGAAAGAGAGAAUAAGGGGAUGGAGGCUGUGAGAGAAGGCGAUAGUGGAGGAAGGUGACACCACUGUGGUGAAGUCGAGGCUACGAUGGUGAUGGAUAACCGAACUAUGCCAGUAACAAUAGCAACUACGUCAAUUCGGACAGCACCAGUAGCAAUAACCAUAACCAUUGAUAAAAGAGAAUCCAACGUCCAAAAUCCAUUCGUGGAGUUGCAUAUCCUUGUAGUCACCUUGACCCCUAUCCGAGUCUCAAUAAAUCCAAACCCAACACACAUUCUCUUCCACCACUAACAUCAUCAUCGCUCUCUUUGCACCCAAAAAAACUCAUUCUUUGCUCCGUAAACUUGCCUCAUUGGACAGUCUCCUCGAAAAAGUGAAAAAAGGAGCUAUUAUCAACGUCGGUCUCUAAUUUCUCAUUGGAUGGAUCAGACGUUACUUGAAGAAAGGUCGUUACUCUCAGUGCGUUAGAACCAGUUAAUUUGGAAAAUUUAACAUUGGAUUAUUUAUUAUUGUAAGUAUUGGAGUUGACUGAGAAUGUUGUUAUCAUUAGUUUGUUUGAUUUGGAUUUUUGUUUUUCAUGAUACUAAGGGUUUUCAAUUCAGAUUUUGGGAACUUUUCUUGUUGAUCUCAAAUAAUAAGUAUCAGUUUCAUGUAUUCAUAGCGGAAGUUUGGGCCUUGAUGAUGUUGUUACUGCUACUCCAACGACAGCAGUGUCGCCAUCUCUCAUCUACUGAGGUCAAAUGAAUGUGGAGGGUAUGGGCAAAUUAGAAAUUUCA